rnacentral:lncRNA from 1 species
UUUUUUCUUUGUUUUUUUUUUCCUAAACUCUGUUUGAGAAUUGAACAUGCCAAGACACGACCCAGCAGUGGGUUUGUGGUUGGCUUGUGUACUGCACUCUCAGCAUGCUACAUUUAGCUUCCUGACUUGAGUGCUGUCCCCGGAUUGUGUCCUCUGGUAUCCUGCAGUGGAGCCGGAGACACUGACCCUCUUUCCUUCCUUAUGGAGUUUGCAUUGCUGAUACCACACAAUCUAAUGUAAGAUUAGGCAAACCCUUAUGCGAGCCUCUGCAGUAUUAAAUAAACAAGAAAGUUUAGUCAUCUUUGAGCUAUGUGCAUGGCUGAGUCUGAAUACUGUCACUGGAUACUUUUACCUGCCAAAAAGCUGGAGAUGGAAACUAGAGAUUUUAGAAAGCCUGUUUGUUUGUGGUGGCGUGAGAUACAAUAACAUCAUUCAACAUGGUUAAAGAACAGAAGUGCAUUCUUUGUGAAACUGUCUACAGCUCCAAACAGGAGAUGGAAGAGCACAUGAGAAGUAUGCUGCACCACCGGGAGCUGGAGAAUCUGAAAGGCCGGUAAGAGCCUAUGUUAUACACCAACCACCUUUUUGUCAACCAAACCCCUUGACUUAAAAUAUUUAUCAUAAGUACCGUUAAUAUCGUAAUUAACCAGUACUUUUGCAUGUUAAUGGUUUUCUAAUGUCAGGUUAGGUAAUGGUCACUUGACAGGCAGGUAAACAAAUAUUUCAUCUUUUUUACAAAGUGUUUCGUUAAUUUAUUUAUUGAUUUUUUUAUUUUAUAUUUUUGUAAUUUAAUUAAUUACUAGAUUUUAAUCAACUCACAAACCCCCUGCGGUUUCCUCACAAACUCCAGUUUGGGAAA